GUCGAACGAGAACGGAUUUAAGCUUGCUUAAAUUGUCAGCUAAGUGGCGCACGGGUGAGUAAUAUAUAGUUAAUCUGCCCCAAAGAGAGGGAUAACAUUUGGAAACGGAUGCUAAGACCUUAUAUGCCUUUAAGACAUAAGUCUGCAAGGGAAACAUUUAUGGCUUUGGGAUGAGACUGUACGGUAUCAGCUUGUUGGUGAGGUAAUGGCUCACCAAGGCAAUGACACCUAACUGGUUUGAGAGGAUGAUCAGUCACACUGGAACUGAGACACGGUCCAGACUCCUACGGGAGGCAGCAGUGGGGAAUAUUGCACAAUGGACGAAAGUCUGAUGCAGCAACGCCGCGUGGAGGAUGACACAUUUCGGUGCGUAAACUCCUUUUAUAUAGGAAGAUAAUGACGGUACUAUAUGAAUAAGCGCCGGCUAACUCCGUGCCAGCAGCCGCGGUAAUACGGAGGGCGCAAGCGUUACUCGGAAUCACUGGGCGUAAAGAGCGUGUAGGCGGGUUAAUAAGUCAGAAGUGAAAUCCUAUAGCUCAACUAUAGAACUGCUUUUGAAACUGUUAACCUAGAAUAUGGGAGAGGUAGAUGGAAUUUCUGGUGUAGGGGUAAAAUCCGUAGAGAUCAGAAGGAAUACCGAUUGCGAAGGCGAUCUACUGGGACAUUAUUGACGCUGAGACGCGAAAGCGUGGGGAGCAAACAGGAUUAGAUACCCUGGUAGUCCACGCCCUAAACGAUGCACACUAGUUGUUGCUA
rnacentral:rRNA from 1 species